UACGUAGGGUGCGAGCGUUAAUCGGAAUUACUGGGCGUAAAGCGUGCGCAGGCGGUUCGUUAAGUCAGAUGUGAAAGCCCCGGGCUCAACCUGGGAACUGCAUUUGAAACUGGCGGGCUUGAGUAUGGCAGAGGGGGGUGGAAUUCCGCGUGUAGCAGUGAAAUGCGUAGAGAUCCGGAAGAACACCGGUGGCGAAGGCGGCCUGCUGGGCAGUGGCUGACGCUGAGGCGCGACAGCGUGGGGAGCAAACAGG
rnacentral:rRNA from 1 species